GAUCUCCUGGAGGCCACUCCUUAAACACGUCAGUGCUCCAUUUUAAAGCAGAGAGUCGAGGAUCAAGGAUUGUCAGAAAACAGAAUGCAACCUACAAUGAACCAGCCAGACACCAAAUGUGUCUUGGCAAUAUUUGUGGCUGCGUCGAGUACUCUUUGUGUAGCAGCAUGCCCAGAGAACCAUUUCCAAGUUCAAAAAAUGCUGUGCUGCUUGAACUGCCAAUAUGGUGAGUAUGUUGCCCGCAACUGCUCUGAAGGGCCCAGAGGCCACAUUGGUGUGCUAUGUAAUACAUGCCGCAGAUGUGAAGAAAUUGGAGAGGUAACUGUUUCCAAUUGCACACAGUUUUCAGACACACAGUGUGCCAGCAUACACACGCAACAGAUAACCAUGCAUGGUUGCUCGUCUGUGAUAGCCGCUGUUGUCAUUCUGGGUGUGAUUCUGGCAGCCUGCUUCUUUCGCAGAAUCAGUAAAUCUGGUGAAUCUGAUGGAGGCUCUGCAGGCCAGACCCAUGUACUGCAGGAUAAAGCGUGCCAGCGCUGGACAGGUGUUUAAUGGUUUUGGGCUGAGCAGGGAGGCUCAGGAUCUUCUGAGAACUGAACAGCAACACGGAUGGGGUGCCACAGUCCAGACCCUGGUGUUUCUCUUCUGUCCGCCAGUGGUACAUCAUACAGAGUGGUCUCCAGAGUAAUUGAAAUGCCUCGUUCCACUGUCCGAGUCGCUGAGGAGGUGCUGACCAUUCACCAAGAGAUUCACCUCCUGAAGACCCCAGAACACAUGGAGGCAGGGCUGGGUUCAAAACUGAUGUUGUUUUUUAUGAUGUUAAACCUAAGCUAUGUUGUAAAAAAUACUUUCAGUAAUGCAUUGAACUAUUUGUUUUAAUGUGUAAAAAAUUUAUUUACAGGACAAAAAUAAAAAUAAUAAAUAAAUAAAUAAAUAAAUAAAU
ensembl:lncRNA